GACAGCAGUCGCCGCGGUAAUACGGAGGGUGCAAGCGUUAAUCGGAAUUACUGGGCGUAAAGCGCACGCAGGCGGUCUGACAAGUCAGAUGUGAAAUCCCCGGGCUUAACCUGGGAACUGCAUUUGAAACUGUCAGGCUGGAGUCUUGUAGAGGGGGGUGGAAUUCCAGGUGUAGCGGUGAAAUGCGUAGAGAUCUGGAGGAAUACCGGUGGCGAAGGCGGCCCCCUGGACAAAGACUGACGCUCAGGUGCGAAAGCGUGGGGAGCAAACAGGAUUAGAUACCCGAGUAGUCCCUGUCUCUUAUAC
rnacentral:rRNA from 1 species